AUUGAACGCUGGCGGCAGGCCUAACACAUGCAAGUCGAGCGGAUGAAGGGAGCUUGCUCCUGGAUUCAGCGGCGGACGGGUGAGUAAUGCCUAGGAAUCUGCCUGGUAGUGGGGGAUAACGUCCGGAAACGGGCGCUAAUACCGCAUACGUCCUGAGGGAGAAAGUGGGGGAUCUUCGGACCUCACGCUAUCAGAUGAGCCUAGGUCGGAUUAGCUAGUUGGUGGGGUAAAGGCCUACCAAGGCGACGAUCCGUAACUGGUCUGAGAGGAUGAUCAGUCACCCUGGAACUGAGCCACGGUCCAGACUCCUACGGGAGGAACAAGUGGGGAAUAUUGGACAAUGGGCGAAAGCCUGAUCAAGCCAUGCCGGGUGUGUGAAGAAGGUCUUCGGAUUGUAAAGCACUUUAAGUUGGGAGGAAGGGAAGUAAGUUAAUCCCUUCCUGUUUUGACGUUACCAACAGAAUAAGCACCGGCUAACUUCGUG
rnacentral:rRNA from 1 species